rnacentral:lncRNA from 1 species
ACAAUUAGCAGUCUUGAUUCAGAUGACUGCAGCACAUCAUCAACAGCAGAGAAGGGUCACUUUGUGGUGUACACCACUGACGAAAAACGUUUUGUGCUUCCCUUGGAUUACCUUAACAAUGAAAUUGUUAAAGAGCUAUUCAAUCUAGCAGAAGAAGAGUUUGGAUUGACAAGCAAUGGACCUCUCACGUUGCCAUGUGAUGCUGCCUUUAUGGAAUAUGCAAUCACCAUGAUCAAGAAGAAUGUGGCUAAAGAUGUUGAGAAAGCAUUGCUGAUUACCUUAGCUCGCAAUCGAUGCUCAUCAUCUUUGAAUUUUCAUCAUGAUGUAACAAAUCAACAGUUGUCAAUUCUUAGCUUUUGAAAUGCAUUACAAAGUUAAUAUACACAUUUAUAAGUUCAUUAAAUUCCAGAAUUUUUGCUUCUGUUUAUAUGUUCUUCCAUAGUUAAUAUUCAAGAAUUUAAAUCCAAAACAUAUUACUUCCUGUAAAAGCAACUACAUCACUGACAGGUGAUCUCUCUACGCAGACCUAAUUUCGUUUCAAAGAUUUUCUAGUUCUUUUUUGUAAAGAAAGUAAUACAGUUAUUGGAAUUCUACAUCAUAAAUUUCAACAAGUUCUUCUCCCCAAAAUUUUAUCUCAAAGGUUAAUAAGAGAUGGCAUUUGUGAAUCGAUGCUUAAUGGUUACACAGAAAAGGCAUUCUUAAAUCUUAACCGCAGCUUUUUAAAAUGCAGAAGAUUUUGAAAACAAUUUAUGGACUGUGACUGUAAGGAAGUUUUGUCAAUUUAACUUUGGUUUGAUGAUGAAUAUAAUUUGUGAAGCGAUGAUGGUUUUUUGUUGCUGGAUUAUUUUGACUACCAGUAGCUGGAUCAUCAAACAGAAAACAUGGUGCGCAGUGAGAAGACAGGAGCCAGCCAAUCCUGUCUGACUGAUAGAUGCAACACGAAAAAAAAUAGACAAAUGGGAAUGAGAAAAGGUAAAUACAUGAUUAUAUUUAAUUAUCAGUACAAAUAACACCCCAUUUGAUGCAUCCCAUGUUCUAUACAGAAAUCUGCAGUCCUGUCAAGUACUCAACUGGCACAUAAUAUCCGUAGUCAAGGUACAGUAUGGAUGAUUUUAUGCCUUUGGGACAAAUUCUCUUCAUCUCUUACCUGAAAGUCUGGCGACCAGUCGAUCACUUUUGUCACUUAGACUUUGCUUUUUAGUUAUAGGAGACAAAGUAAUGUGAGAUUCUCAACAGUACACAGACAAGGCAAUCUAAUAAAUGGAUUAGUGUGUCUGUAAACCCAUUAAAGUAGGCUUGGUUGAACCACAUAUUUCCUGUUUGGUAGCUCCUCCGGAAUGGGUCCAACAUGCCUGUGUCUUGAACGUGCUUAGGAUUAAUUUUUGUGGAUCACAAAGUUUGAUGGAAGCUAGGAUCAUGAGACAUCAAAUCUGGUCCUAUUUUAUUGCUAAACCACUUGGCCAUAAACAUAGAUAUAUGCAUACCUUCCAUGCUCAAACUUGAUGUGCUGUUAUUCAAGGGGAAUAGGGAAACAUGUUCACCUCCCCAGCAACCCUACAUAAACCCACCUGUCACGUGGUUUUGCAUUGCUUGACUGCCUGGACUGUUGAAAGUAUUUAUGAAUUGUCUCUGGCCUUGUGUAUAUAUAACCAACCCACUUCCGUUUCCCUCUAUCCAAAGCAAGAUUAAGAUUUUGAUAUUACAAGAUCUAAACAUCUCCUUUCUUAGUUUCAUCAGCCUCAAGAUGAUCAGUGCCAAGAAGCUCGUCAAAUUGGCAAGAAAAUGGCAGAAACUGGCUGCCAUUAGUAGAAAAAGGCUCCCGUUUCCGCAAACAGUUAGCAGUCUUGAUUCAGAUGACUGCAGCACGUCAUCAACAGCAGAGAAGGGUCACUUUGUGGUGUACACCACUGACGAAAAACGUUUUGUGCUUCCCUUGGAUUACCUAAACAAUGAAAUUGUUAAAGAGCUAUUCAAUCUAGCAGAAGAAGAGUUUGGAUUGACAAGCAAUAGACCUCUCACCUUGCCAUGUGAUGCUGCCUUCAUGGAAUAUUCAAUCACCAUGAUCAAGAAGAAUGUGGCUAAAGAUGUAGAGAAAGCAUUGCUGAUUACCUUAGCUAGCAAUCGAUGCUCAUCAACUUUGUAUCCUCAUCAAGAAGUCAGA